rnacentral:rRNA from 1 species
CCUACGUGAGGCAGCAGUGGGGAAUAUUGCACAAUGGGGGAAACCCUGAUGCAGCGACGCCGCGUGAGUGAAGAAGUAUUUCGGUACGUAACGCUCUAUCAGCCGGGAAGAAAAUGACGGUACCUGACUAAGAAGCCCCGGCUAACUACGUGCCAGCAUCCGCGGUAAUACGUCGGGGGCAAUCGUGAUCCGGAUUUACUGGGGGGAAAGGGAGCGUCGACGGCAGCGCAAGUCUGAAGGGAAAUCCAAUGGCUUAACCAUGGAACUGCUUUGGAAACUGUGCAGCUGGAGUGCAGGAGAGGUAAGCGGAAUUCCUAGUGUAGCGGGGAAAUGCGUAGAUAUUAGGAGGAACACCAGUGGCGAAGGCGGCUUACUGGACUGUAACUGACGUUGAGGCUCGAAAGCGUGGGGAGCAAACAGGAUUAGAUACCCUUGUAGUC